rnacentral:misc_RNA from 1 species
GUUUUGUUUUUGAGGUUCACUCUCCACAAAAAGCGCGUGAAGUAAAAUCCAACUCCCUCUCCUCCUCCAUAUCUAUUUCCCCAUUUCAUUUCUCAGGGAAAUCGAGAUCUGUGCUCACACCCCCACCCCCUCUAAACCCCCUACCCCUACCCCUACAAAAUUCAUAUAUACAACAUUGAUGUGCACAAAAUUCGUGAAGGAAAUGGAGAAGAUGGCGUUGUACGUCGUCGUUUUGCUAAUCAUCUGCUAUGCAUCGCCGGCGAGAUCAGACGGUUCCGAUCAUAAGUAUAAAUCCGGAGAUCAGGUUCCACUUUAUGCUAACAAAGUCGGUCCGUUCCAUAAUCCGAGUGAAACAUACCGCUUCUUUGACCUUCCUUUUUGUACUCCAGAUCAUGUAAAAGAGAAGAAGGAAGCCCUUGGUGAGGUCUUGAAUGGUGACCGAUUGGUCAGUGCCCCUUACAAGCUUGACUUUUUGUACGAUAAGGACUCAGAAAUAGUUUGCAAGAAGAAGUUGUCCAAGGAAGAAGUUUCUCAAUUCCGCAGCGCUGUUGCUAAAGACUACUACUUCCAAAUGUAU